UACAGAGGGUGCGAGCGUUGUCCGGAAUCACUGGGCGUAAAGGGCUCGUAGGCGGCCAACUAAGUCAGACGUGAAAUCCCUCGGCUUAACCGGGGAACUGCAUCUGAUACUGGAUGGCUUGAGUUCGGGAGAGGGAUGCGGAAUUCCAGGUGUAGCGGUGAAAUGCGUAGAUAUCUGGAGGAACACCGGUGGCGAAGGCGGCAUCCUGGACCGACACUGACGCUGAGGAGCGAAAGCCAGGGGAGCAAACGGG
rnacentral:rRNA from 1 species